UGAGUACGAGCUGCUACGGCAGCGAAGUGGGUGAUGUCAUGCUUCCAAGAAAAGCCCUAUACCCGUUAAGGCAUGAUGGCCUGUACCCGAAACCGACACAGGUGGGGUGGUAGAGAAUACCGAGGGGCGCGAGGUAACUCUCUCUAAGGAACUCGGCAAAAUGGCCCCGUAACUUCGGGAGAAGGGGUGCCACCGCAAGGUGGUCGCAGUGAAGAGGCCCAGGCGACUGUUUACCAAAAACACAGGUCUCCGCUAAGUCGCAAGACGAUGUAUGGGGGCUGACGCCUGCCCAGUGCCGGAAGGUUAAGGAAGCUGGUCAGCGCAAGCGAAGCUAGCGACUGAAGCCCCGGUGAACGGCGGCCGUAACGAUAACGGUCCUAAGGUAGCGAAAUUCCUUGUCGGGUAAGUUCCGACCCGCACGAAAGGCGUAACGAUCUGGGCGCUGUCUCGGAGAGAGGCUCGGCGAAAUAGAAUUGUCUGUGAAGAUGCGGACUACGUGCACCCGGACAGAAAGACCCUAUGAAGCUUUACUGUAGCUUGGUAUUGUGCUCGGGCUCGGAAUGCGCAGGAUAGGUGGGAGGCUAUGAACCAUUGCUUGCGGGUGAUGGUGAGCCACUGGUGAGAUACCACUCUUUCCGAGCUAGAGUUCUAACAGCCACCCGUUAUCCGGGGGCUGGACAGUAUCAGGUGGGCAGUUUGACUGGGGCGGUCGCCUCCUAAAAGGUAACGGAGGCGCGCAAAGGUUUGCUCAGGCUGGUUGGAAAUCAGCCGACGAGUGUAAAAGCAGAAGCAAGCUUGACUGUGAGACCUACAAGUCGAACAGGGAGGAAACUCGGCUUUAGUGAUCCGACGGUUCUGCGUGGAAGGGCCGUCGCUCAACGGAUAAAAGUUACUCUAGGAUAACAGGCUGAUCUCCCCCAAGAGUUCACAUCGACGGGGAGGUUUGGCACCUCGAUGUCGGCUCAUCGCAACCUGGGGCUGAAGUCGGUCCCAAGGGUUGGGCUGUUCGCCCAUUAAAGCGGUACGCGAGCUGGGUUCAGAACGUCGUGAGACAGUUCGGUCCAUAUCCGGUGCAUGCGCAGGAAUAUUGAGAGGAUUUCUCCCUAGUACGAGAGGACCGGGAGGAACGCACCUCUGGUGUACCAGUUAUCGUGCCAACGGUAAACGCUGGGUAGCCACGUGCGGAGAGGAUAACCGCUGAAAGCAUCUAAGUGGGAAGCCCACCUCAAGAUGAGUAUUCCCAUGGGGUAACCCAGUAAGGUCACGGGAAGAACACCCGUUGAUAGGCUCUACGUGGAAGCGCAGUAAUGUGUGAAGCGGAGGAGUACUAAUAGACCGAGGGCUUGACC
rnacentral:rRNA from 1 species